rnacentral:rRNA from 1 species
UACGGAGGGUGCAAGCGUUAUCCGGAUUCACUGGGUUUAAAGGGUGCGUAGGCGGAUAGGUAAGUCCGUGGUGAAAUCCUGCAGCUUAACUGCAGAACUGCCGUGGAUACUAUCUAUCUUGAAUAUCGUGGAGGUUAGCGGAAUAUGUCAUGUAGCGGUGAAAUGCGCAGAUAUCAGGAGGAACACCGGUGGCGAAGGCGGGUCUCUGGGCCGAUACUGACGCUGAGGAGCGAAAGCGUGGGGAGCAAACAGG